UUUCCGUAGGUGAACCUGCGGGAGGAUCAUUCUUAUAUAACCGAGGUGCGAGGGCUGUUACUGACCCGUAAGGACGUGCACGCCCGAGUGCCCUCACACACACCCAUCUCACCCCUCAGAGCACCCCACCGAUGGUCCCCAUUUCACUCGUUCGAAAGGAUGCUUACAUUUUACCACAAUCUUUGUAUGCCUUGCAACAAGUAUUUUUUGUUUUUGCGCUCCCGCUAACAACACAACUUUCCACAACAGAUCUCUUGGCUCCCGCAUCGACGAAAAAAA
rnacentral:misc_RNA from 1 species